GACGAACGCUGGCGGCGUGCUUAACACAUGCAAGUCGAGCGGUAAGGCCCUUUCGGGGGUACACGAGCGGCGAACGGGUGAGUAACACGUGGGUGACCUGCCCUUAGCUCUGGGAUAAGCCUGGGAAACUGGGUCUAAUACCGGAUAUGACUCCAUGACGCAUGUUGUGGGGUGGAAAGCCUUGUGCGGCUAGGGAUGGGCCCGCGGCCUAUCAGCUUGUUGGUGGGGUGAUGGCCUACCAAGGCGACGACGGGGUAGCCGGCCUGAGAGGGCGACCGGCCACACU
rnacentral:rRNA from 1 species